rnacentral:tRNA from 1 species
GGAUAUAGCUCAGUUGGUAGAGUGCUUACUUUGUAUGUACAAAGCCCUGGGUUCAAUCCUCAGCACCA